rnacentral:lncRNA from 1 species
UUUAUCCCCCUUUUUUACCCCCAAUUUUUAACCCCCUUUUUUUUCUCCCUCUUUUUUUAUUAAUCCCCUUUUCCCAGACAUUUGAAACCCCCAGUUUUCCUUUGCUCCUCCACCUCUUUCCUUCCACAAACCUUUUGAACACCCCAAAAGCGCUCCAGUUCUGCCUCAGGACUCGAACCUCCCAAAUUCUUUGGGAGCCAAAGGAUUUUUUCCCUUUCCAAAGGGGCCACAGCUGCUUUGGAGAGGCUGCAAUGAGGGGAAAAAAGCAAAUUUCAAAACGAAGAAUUCCGCCCUCAGCAGUGAAACAACGCUUCCUAAAGAGAAAGGAAAACAUUGUGCUGGAGCAGAGGGGAAAAAAAACAAACAACAACCCUGGAGUGUUUAUCACUGGAGUGCUGAAUUCCUGACAGAGCCCAGCUGUUCCCAAAUCCCUUUGCUCCCAAAAAAGGGCCGCGCUUCCCUUGCUGGAGCCUGACGUGGUCCUGCGAACGUCAGCAGCGGGAAGCUCCAAAACAAGUGACGUGGGAGCCCAAGCCUCCCACGGAGGGCACUGGAGCACAGCCACGCUUCCAAAGAUGGAGAUCCCAGCAGGAUUCCGGCACUGGGAGAGCCUCUGGAGCCCCGGGAAUGGCAGGGCUUCUGCUGGAGAUUCUCCUGGUUUUGUGGGGCUUGGCAGCAGGAGCCCGAUGACAGCGGCUCAGCACCGAGGGAAAAUGAGGAAUGAUGCAAGACGGCAGGAAUGGACAGUGGGAGACGGCAGCAUGGAAUCCUCACGGAAAAAAACUCUUCUGAGUGCUCAUAAAACAUCCCCGGGGACAAGAGAGCUGGGAGAGAGGAGCUUUCCGGGCUGUCCCAAACAGCAGGAAUGGCCUGAACUUCAUGGAUCUCCUGACCAAGGACUUUGGGAGUCCUGACCAAGAUCUGUUUCCUUUGAGAGGAGGGAAUUUGAAGAUUUUUAAAACUUUCUUGCCAUGAAUCUGACCCAAACCAGCUGCCAGGUAUUUGCUGUGCAUGGAGAGAGCGUGUGGAGGUGGAAUCCCUGUCCCUGGAGGUGUCUGAGGAGCUCCUGGAGGUGUCCGAGGGGCUCCUGGAGGUGUCCGAGGAGCUCCUGGAGGUGUCCGAGGAGCUCCUGGAGGUGUCUGAGGGGCUCCUGGAGGUGUCCAAGGAGCUCCUGGAGGUGGCCAAGGAGCUCCUGGGCUGAUGACAAGGUGGGGACGGGGCACAGCUUGGACUCCAUGAUCCUGGAGGGCUUUUCCAACCUCAGAGAUUUUGGGAUUCUAUUGCUGUACCUCCGGUGAUGAUGCUGGACCUUCAUCCAGGGCUUCCCACAGGAUGGAUCUCAUGGCAGCCAUCCCAAAUGUUCCGUUUAGAAAAAGAAGAAGAAAUUUGGGCCAGGCCAGCUCCCAAAUCCCUCUCCUGAGGCAGCUGAGUAGAUUUCAGCCCUUCCAGCAUUCCAAUCACCUCCUUGCCCCUGUUCCAGGAGCUCCAGCAGCUCCGUGUGCGCCCAGGGAAGGACGGACACGUGCUGGGAUGACACGAUGGGACAUCUGAGAUGGCCAAAAAGGACGAGUUUAUCUCUGCCAAGGCUCUGGGGUGCUCUGCUGUACGGAAUGGGAUUCCUGGGUGUGGAAAUAAAUGGAUUAAUGCUUCACCA